CCUACGGGAGGCUGCAGUAGGGAAUAUUGGGCAAUGGACGAAAGUCUGACCCAGCCAUGCCGCGUGCAGGAUGACUGCCCUAUGGGUUGUAAACUGCUUUUCUAUGGGAAGAAACACUCAUACGUGUAUGAACUUGACGGUACCAUAGGAAUAAGGAUCGGCUAACUCCGUGCCAGCAGCCGCGGUACUACGGAGGAUCCAAGCGUUGUCCGGAUUCAUUGGGUUGAAGGGGGGCUACUGAGUACGAGGUGAAAUCUUGCGGCUCAACCGUAAAAUUGCCUUUGAAACUGGUAGUCUUGAGUUCGGUCGAGGUGGAUGGAAUGUGUCAUGUAGCGGUGAAAUGCUUAGAUAUGACCCAGAACACCAAUUGCGAAGGCAGUUCACUAGACCGAUACUGACGCUGAGGCACGAAAGCGUGGGGAGCGAACAGGAUUAGAUACCCUAGUAGUC
rnacentral:rRNA from 1 species